rnacentral:ncRNA from 1 species
AAAACGGCCCUUUUCAGGGCCACUAAACUUUAUAUAUUAAUCCGAAU